AUGCUAAAAGACUCCCUAAAUCACACACAACACAAGCCCUAUCAUAAAAGCUUUUUGAAAAAACUACAAAAUCAAUUUUUAAAUUUAUUUAGAAAUACAAGAGUUCGAUCGGUAGCGGGAGCGGAGAGCGGACCCCAGAGAGCCCUGAGAGCCCCACCGCCGCCGCCGGCCCCAGUCACCAUCACCGCAACCUUGAGCAGCGAGGCCGAGACCCAGCAGCCGCCCGCCGCCCUCAGUGCCGCCGCCACCAAGUCCGGCUCCACGGGCAGCGGCGCGGGUAGUGGCAGCCCGGGCAGCCUCACAUCGGCCGCGCCCGCUGGCGGGGACAAGAAGGUCAUCGCAACGAAGGUUUUGGGAACAGUUCAAUGUAAGGAACGGAUACGGUUUCAUCAACAGGAACGACACCAAGGAAGAUGUAUUUGUACACCAGACUGCCAUAAAGAAGAAUAACCCCAGGAAGUACCUUCGCAGUGUAGGAGAUGGAGAGACUGUGGAGUUUGAUGUUGUUUAAGGAGAAAAGGGUGCGGAGGCAGCAAAUGUUACAGGCCCUGGUGGAGUUCCAGUUCAAGGCAGUAAAUACGCAGCAGACCGAAACCAUUAUAGACGCUAUCCACGUCGUAGGGGUCCUCCACGCAAGUACCAGCAAAACUACCAGAAUAGUGAGAGUGGGGAAAAGAACGAGGGUUCGGAAAGCGCUCCUGAAGGCCAGGCCCAACAACGCCGGCCCUAUUGCAGGCGAAGGUUCCUACCUUACUACAUGCGGAGACCCUAUGCGCAUCGACCACAGUAUUCCAACCCCCCUGUACAAGGAGAAGUGAUGGAGGGUGCUGACAACCAAGGUGCAGGAGAGCAAGGUAGACCAGUG